CUAACAACCAGGAAGAAGAAUAGUAGGUAUCAGAGACGUUACCACAGAGAGUCGGCAAUUGGUGUGAGCCGAUGUGCGUCUGAUACAGAAUGGGCUUCAGAGUUGCUUUGCAGAACCACGUAAUUUACGUUCAGUAGGUAAAGCCGGAAUGGUCUCACCGUUAUCAGGAGACAGGCAUGGCAUGAAAAAUUUUAUGCUCUGUGCCUACUAAAGUGCGUCGAAUAGCAAGUUCGACGAAAUAGGGUGGCAACACGGUCCCACGUCCCUAAC
rnacentral:ncRNA from 1 species